UCUCCGUAGGUGAACCUGCGGAGGGAUCAGUAGAGAAAUCGUCCCUGACGACCGUGGAUCGUGGGAAUUAAAUGCAAUCGCAAGCAGUCUGAAUAAUUUUAUACAAAACUUUCAACAACGGAUCUCUUGGCUCUU
rnacentral:misc_RNA from 1 species